UCCCUGGUGGUCCAGAGGUUAGGACUGGGCACUUUCACUGCCAAGGGCCUGGGUUCAAUCCCUGGCCGAAGAA
rfam:Ovis aries breed Texel chromosome 18, whole genome shotgun sequence.